rnacentral:rRNA from 1 species
GAACUUAAGCAUAUUAAUAAGCGGAGGAAAAGAAACCAACAGGGAUAUUCUCAGUAACGGCGAGUGAAGAGAAUAAAGCCCAGCGCUGAAUCGUAUUGCUUGCAAGAGUAGUACGACAUGUAGCGUGAAACUGGCGGCUGUUGAUGUUGUCGAUGCGUGUAAGUCUCCUUGAGCGGGGCUCAGUCCCAGAGAUGGUGCUAGGCCCGUAUCGCGCAUGACAAGUACAGCAACGCCCGCUUGUGGAGAGUCAGGUUGUUUGGGAACACAAUCUAAAGCCGGUGGUACACUCCAUCGAAGGCUAAAUAUGGCCACGAGUCCGAUAGCGAACAAGUACCGUGAGGGAAAAUUGAAAAGCACUUUGAAGAGAGAGCGAAAUAGUGCGUGAAACCGCUUAGAGGCAAGCAGAUGGAUUCUCGAAGGUGUGCAUAGGAUUACUGUAAUAAUAUUCCUAGUUCUCACGCCACCACUGUUGUUGACGUGCACCACACGCUGACAUUUGGACGCUCGAGAUUGGGACUCGUGCCUGCUUGAGACGCUCGGUGUUGGACGCGUUGAGUUUCUGUGGCACGCAAUAACAGAGCAGAGCAUUUGUCGUCGCUGUAAAGCGCCGACUGUGGCCGCUUGCUGAUGCAUAGUUUCGUUGUGGCGAGGCGCAAGCUUCGACAUGCGGUAUGUAUUGCAACUCGGCUACUAGUACCGGCAAGACGACUUUAAGACUCGGUGGCGAGUA